rnacentral:rRNA from 1 species
AAUGAUUAAUAGGGAUAGUUGGGGGCAUUGGUAUUGAGUCGCUAGAGGUGAAAUUCUUGGAUUGACUCAAGACCAACUAUCGCGAAAGCAUUUGCCAAGGAUGUUUUCAUUAAUCAAGAACGAAGGUUAGGGGAUCGAAAACGAUGACAUACCGUUGUAGUCUUAACAGUAAACUAUGCCGACUAGGGAUCGAUGACCUCAAUAUUAUGUGUCAUUCGGCACCUUACGAAAAAACAAAGUCUUUGGGGUUCUGGGGGGAGCUAUGGUYCCCAGGCUUGAAACUUUAAAAGAAUUGCACGGAAGGCCACCACCAAGUUGUGGAGCCUGCGGCCCUAAUUUGACUCAACACGGGGAAACUCACCAGGUCCAGACAUAACUAAGGAUUGACAGAUUGAUAGCUCUUUCAUGAUUAUAUGGGUGGUGGUGCAUGGCCGUUCUUAGUUGGUGGAGUGAUUUGUCUGGUUAAUUCCGAUAACGAACGAGACCUUAACCUGCUAAAUAGCCAGAUCGGCUUCUGCUGGUCGCCGGCUUCUUAGAGGGACUGUCAGCGUGUAGCUGACGGAAGUUUGAGGCAAUAACAGGUCUGUGAUGCCCUUAGAUGUUCUGGGCCGCACGCGCGCUACACUGACAGAGCCAGCGAGUUUUUCACCUUGGCCGGGGGGUCUGUUUAAUACUUGAUAAAGG